rnacentral:rRNA from 1 species
GAUGAACGCUGGCGGCGUGCUUAACACAUGCAAGUCGAACGGUGAACACGGAGCUUGCUCUGUGGGAUCAGUGGCGAACGGGUGAGUAACACGUGAGCAACCUGCCCCUGACUCUGGGAUAAGCGCUGGAAACGGCGUCUAAUACUGGAUACGAGUUGCGGCCGCAUGGUCAGUUACUGGAAAGAUUUUUUGGUUGGGGAUGGGCUCGCGGCCUAUCAGCUUGUUGGUGAGGUAAUGGCUCACCAAGGCGUCGACGGGUAGCCGGCCUGAGAGGGUGACCGGCCACACUGGGACUGAGACACGGCCCAGACUCCUACGGGAGGCAGCAGUGGGGAAUAUUGCACAAUGGGCGGAAGCCUGAUGCAGCAACGCCGCGUGAGGGAUGACGGCCUUCGGGUUGUAAACCUCUUUUAGCAGGGAAGAAGCGAAAGUGACGGUACCUGCAGAAAAAGCGCCGGCUAACUACGUGCCAGCCGCCGCCGUAA